CUCUCAAGAGUUAGAAGAGUGUGCACAGGCAUAAAGGAAGGAAUGGGGCCCAGUUUUCUGACUCUAGGCACUUUCCCUUUAUAAGUUUUCCAAUGUACAAGCCCCCACCGCCCUGCCCCCCUUCCAAGAGGUUCGGCUAACGGUCCAGCUUCCAUAUGCUCCCACGUCCAGGAGGUACAAAGGUAUCAAAUAUUAUCAGAGUUGAGCACAACCCCAGCCUAGGGCCCUCUUUCCCUCCUUCAAAAACUGCGUCACAAGCCCUCUGCGAACCUUCACAGGGCACCUCGUUCCACCCGGAAUCCCCCUCCACCACAAGGGGAACGACCUCGGCCCCAAUUGGCUAUCACCCUGGGCAACCAAGGACGCGGUGGGCACGCGGCGGCUCCGGCCGGUAUUUAAAGGCUGCCUCUGCCCUCGGCCCCUCAGUCCCACCAGGACUGCGACGGUGAAGCACCUGGGUUGGGAGUGAGCUGCAAGCGCUAUGGAUCUUCCUCAGAAGAACAUGGAGUUGCUUCUGUGGAACUGGUUAUCUGCCAUGGCCUCAACAAUCCAUAAAUCCAUGCAUGGAGAGGAUUCCCCAUGGUCAGAAGUCAACUUGUACAUCUAGUUAAAAUCCAAGUGCCUUCCUUUGGCCUGGACCUGACCCCACACACCAUGAGCACACUGCUGUAUUCAGCAAGAGGAGUUUCGAUUUGAAGUGGUUUGUCUUGGAAGCUUCCGGGAGAGGAUUUAUUGAACCAACUUAUGAGAACCUCCCAGCUUUCUGAUUGGUGCCCUGAGCAAUAAAGAGUACAGCCCAAUAAACCUCCUGCAAGCAAAUUUCCAUCUCAGAUGUUCUUUCCUUGGGAACCCAAUCUAUGUCCACCACCAACAAAAAUCAUGUCAAACAGUAGGCGCUUCAACAAAUAUCAUUUCAAUAACUAGGUGAGAAUAUGAAGAAGGAAAUAAAUGAAGACACUUACCUUCAUCAUCCCUGGGACAAUAUACAUGAGAGUAAAGGUGGGGAACACAAAAACAGUCAUUAUGGACACAGGUUAAAUAGACUAAAUAAAACUAUAGUCACAGACUGCUUGAUCAGAAAAAUAGUGGAAUAUACCAGUAAGUAUUAUAAUUCUGUUAGGAUGGUACUGGACUUAAGUUAGGCUGUCAUCUAAGUGAUUCUAACAGUUACAUAUGAAGGAAUAUUUCAAGAUCUCUGGCUAAAGUUUAUUCCAGUAUUUAAUCCCUCAGUGCCAUCAGAUUCUCCUUCAAAUAACUUUUCAUCUGUUUCUAAAAUUUUAA